rnacentral:rRNA from 1 species
UACGUAGGGGGCAAGCGUUGUCCGGAAUUAUUGGGCGUAAAGCGCGUGUAGGCGGCCAGAUAAGUCCGCUGUGAAAUCUCGAGGCUCAACUUCGAGCUGUCGGUGGAGACUGUCUGGCUAGAGUCCGGAAGAGGAGAAUGGAAUUCCUGGUGUAGCGGUGAAAUGCGCAGAUAUCAGGAAGAACACCCGUGGCGAAGGCGGUUCUCUGGGACGGUACUGACGCUGAGACGCGAAAGCGUGGGGAGCGAACAGG